rnacentral:misc_RNA from 1 species
AUAAGCUUGGCUUCCUUCCUGCUGAUGAUAAAAUGUUCAGAUUCGUUCUUCUUCUUCAGUAUUCAAUGCCCACAUCCAUACUUGCUGGUGCGGUUGCCAACUUGAGAGGGUGUGGGAAGGAGGCAGCUUCAAUCUUGUUUUGGGUUCAUAUAUUUGCUGUGAUCUCUAUGGCUGGAUGGAUCAUCCUCUACCUCAACAUACUCUUUUAAGUUGUUAGGAUCAAUACUGUUGCUACAGAGAAGGUAAAAACGAGAUAUCGGAUGGGAAGCUUUUUAUUCUUGUCGAAAAGCUGAUCAUUGUUUGUAAUCAGAGGGAGAGGAGAUGUAUCGAUUAUACGUAGGAAUUGUAUAUCUACUACAUCUAUCUGUUCUUGGUUUCUUCUAUUAUAUACCAAGCUUAUGCUACUUUGAAACUGGCUUAUGUCAAAGGAGCAUUUGGUGAAAGACAAAAGAUGAGAGGCUUUAUGUUCAUGUGAAUAAGAAUAAGUAAAUGGGAUUGUUUGUGGCACUUUUAAGCAGAAUACAACUUCUUCUGAGUUAUCAGAAAAAUCAAUACCUCCUUAAAAGAAUGUCAAAAAUCACGUUGAUGAUUGAUGAGA